GAUGAACGCUGGCGGCGUGCCUAAUACAUGCAAGUCGAGCGAACAGACGAGGAGCUUGCUCCUCUGACGUUAGCGGCGGACGGGUGAGUAACACGUGGAUAACCUACCUAUAAGACUGGGAUAACUUCGGGAAACCGGAGCUAAUACCGGAUAAUAUAUUGAACCGCAUGGUUCAAUAGUGAAAGACGGUUUUGCUGUCACUUAUAGAUGGAUCCGCGCCGCAUUAGCUAGUUGGUAAGGUAACGGCUUACCAAGGCGACGAUGCGUAGCCGACCUGAGAGGGGGAUCGGCCACCCAGGAACUGAGACACGGUCCAGACUCCUACGGGAGGCAGCAGUAGGGAAUCUUCCGCAAUGGGCGAAAGCCUGACGGAGCAACGCCGCGUGAGUGAUGAAGGUCUUCGGAUCGUAAAACUCUGUUAUUAGGGAAGAACAAAUGUGUAAGUAACUAUGCACGUCUUGACGGUACCUAAUCAGAAAGCCACGGCUAACUACGUG
rnacentral:rRNA from 1 species